rnacentral:rRNA from 1 species
AGUGAACGCUGGCGGUAGGCCUAACACAUGCAAGUCGAACGGCAGCACAGUAAGAGCUUGCUCUUACGGGUGGCGAGUGGCGGACGGGUGAGGAAUACAUCGGAAUCUACUUUUUCGUGGGGGAUAACGUAGGGAAACUUACGCUAAUACCGCAUACGACCUACGGGUGAAAGCAGGGGAUCUUCGGACCUUGCGCGAUUGAAUGAGCCGAGGUCGGAUUAGCUAGUUGGCGGGGUAAAGGCCCACCAAGGCGACGAUCCGUAGCUGGUCUGAGAGGAUGAUCAGCCACACUGGAACUGAGACACGGUCCAGACUCCUACGGGAGGCAGCAGUGGGGAAUAUUGGACAGUGGGCGCAAGCCUGAUCCAGCCAUACCGCGUGGGUGAAGAAGGCCUUCGGGUUGUAAAGCCCUUUUGUUGGGAAAGAAAAGCAGCAGGUUAAUACCCCGCUGUUCUGACGGUACCCAAAGAAUAAGCACCGGCUAACUUCGUG